rnacentral:rRNA from 1 species
GAUGGACGCUGGCGGCGUGCUUAACACAUGCAAGUCGAACGAAGCACUUGAAUGGAAUUCUUCGGAAGGAAGCUCAAGUGACUGAGUGGCGGACGGGUGAGUAACGCGUGGGUAACCUGCCUCAUACAGGGGGAUAACAGUUAGAAAUGACUGCUAAUACCGCAUAAGCACACGUGAUCGCAUGAUCGAGUGUGAAAAACUCCGGUGGUAUGAGAUGGACCCGCGUCUGAUUAGCUAGUUGGUGGGGUAACGGCCCACCAAGGCGACGAUCAGUAGCCGGCCUGAGAGGGUGAACGGCCACAUUGGGACUGAGACACGGCCCAAACUCCUACGGGAGGCAGCAGUGGGGAAUAUUGCACAAUGGGGGAAACCCUGAUGCAGCGACGCCGCGUGAAGGAUGAAGUAUUUCGGUAUGUAAACUUCUAUCAGCAGGGAAGAAAAUGACGGUAC